GACGAACGCUGGCGGCGUGCUUAACACAUGCAAGUCGAACGAAGAGCGAUGGAAGCUUGCUUCUAUCAAUCUUAGUGGCGAACGGGUGAGUAACGCGUAAUCAACCUGCCCUUCAGAGGGGGACAACAGUUGGAAACGACUGCUAAUACCGCAUACGAUCUAAUCUCGGCAUCGAGGAUAGAUGAAAGGUGGCCUCUACAUGUAAGCUAUCACUGAAGGAGGGGAUUGCGUCUGAUUAGCUAGUUGGAGGGGUAACGGCCCACCAAGGCGAUGAUCAGUAGCCGGUCUGAGAGGAUGAACGGCCACAUUGGGACUGAGACACGGCCCAGACUCCUACGGGAGGCAGCAGUGGGGAAUCUUCCGCAAUGGACGAAAGUCUGACGGAACAACGCCGCGUGAGUGAUGACGGCCUUCGGGUUGUAAAGCUCUGUUAAUCGGGACGAAAGGCCUUCUUGCGAAUAGUGAGAAGGAUUGACGGUACCGGAAUAGAAAGCCACGGCUAACUACGUG
rnacentral:rRNA from 1 species